CAGACCACAGCGAAAAAAACGGCGACGGAGAGAGAGGAAGAUUGCGAGAAGGACAAAGAAGAGUCGCAGAGGCUCGGGGGGGGGUGCAACGACGCCGACGGCCCCUCCUAAUUCUAUUGCGCUGUCGCCGCCCCCGCCCUACCCUAAGCAGCCGUUAUAUCCUUCCUUGGCAACGACAUCGGAGCAGGGGGCGGGACCAUCCCCAAAAGGAAAGGAGGAGGGGAGACUUAAGCUUACUGAUUGGGGGCAGAUCAAAGAGGAAGUGGCACAGAAAGGCCUGGCGGCAACUUAUACACUCCCAGUUGUUGUCUCAGAGGAGGGAGGCCCAGUCUGGGUCCCGUUGGACCCAAAGGGGGUAGCAAGGAUGAUUGAGGCAGUAGAAAAGAAAGGGCUGAAAUCGCCAUUGACGAUGAAUGCCCUUGAGGCCCUCACAGCAUCGGGCCCAAUGCUGCCUUAUGAUAUUGAAAAUUUAAUGCGCAUGGUGUUGAAACCAGUGCAGUAUACGCUCUGGAGAGAGGAGUGGCAUACCAAAUUAAAACAAAUGCUGAUUACGGCGCAGGGUGAUCAAAGAAACCCCAUAUAUGGGUCCGAUAUACAGAGAUUAACGGGCAAUGCACCAGGUCUGCUGACCCCUCAAGCACAAGUUUGUCAACUUAGACCAGGAUAGUUGAUAGCGACUACGGACGCUGCAAUAGACGCGUUCCGAAAGCUUGCAAGGAGUGCUGAGCCCACUACUCCAUGGACAGAGAUCGCGCAAGGCCCCACAGAGCCGUUUCAGGAGUUUGCAGACAGACUAAUUAAGGCAGUGGAAGGCUCGGAUCUGCCCAGAGCAGUUCACGGUCCCGUCAUCCUGGAUUGCUUGUAUCAGAAGUCCAGUGAAGGGGUGCAGGGGAUUUUGCGAGUGGCGCCGGGGAGGCUCCAAACCCCUGGUGAGGCCAUCAAGUAGGUCCUAGAUAAGCAAAAGGCCUGUCCGUCUGUGGCAGGGGAGGUAGCUGCGGCGGUAGCAGGAGUGAUGAUGGCCUGUAGGGAGGCGGACCAUCGUAGUGCAGGACCGACAGUUAGGACCUUGCUUUAAAUGUGGUCAGGCGGGCCACAUUAGGGCCCAGUGCAGAAUGGGUGCGGGUGGAAGCGUAACAUGUCAGCAGUGCGGGCGGAGGGGUCAUACAGCACCACAAUGCAGGGCCCGUAGGCCUCCACGCCAGGGAAAUAACAACGGGAGACAGUCCGAGCACGGUGACUUCAUUUUUCGACCUAUGCAGGCCCCUGACCUAAGUUUACCCAUGGCGGCGCUGUCUCUAAGUACCCAUGAGCGCCCUCUGGUGAAAGCCACUAUUUCUUGCACCAACCUCCCGCUGGAUUUUCAAGGCCCUCGAUCUAUCUUUGUCACUGCCCUCAUAGAUUCCGGCGCCGACGUUACUGUGGUCGCGGAAACAGAAUGGCCAUCCUCGUGGCCCGCGGAGGCCUCGCAGUCUAUUUUGGGGGUUGGAGGGGCGACCCCCUCACGCCGGUCUACCAAUGAGGUACAAGCGGUUGUGAUUAACAGGGAUGGCUCCUUAGAGAAACCGGCGUUGCUUACACCAUUGGUGGCGCGUGUCCCCGGAACUCUUCUGGGGCGGGAUUUCUUGCGACAGAUAGGCAUUCCACAGUAUCCUCUGAACACCUUCAAGGGAUACGUCACUAAUGUUACUGCUUGCGAUAACGACGCCGAUUUAGCCAGCCAAACAGCAUGCUUGAUACAGGCUCUAAAUACAACCCUCCCUUGGGACCCCCAAGAAUUGGAUAUUUUAGGGUCCCAGAUGAUCAAGAACGGAACAACACGUACGUGUGUUACCUUUGGUUCGGUGUGCUAUAAAGAGAACAAUCGCAGUAGAGUCUGUCACAAUUUUGAUGGGAAUUUUAAUGGGACUGGUGGGGCAGAAGCAGAAUUGCGUGACUUCAUAGCAAAAUGGAAAAGUGAUGACCUUCUUAUAAGACCCUAUGUCAACCAAUCAUGGACGAUGGUAAGUCCAAUAAAUGUAGAGAGUUUUUCAAUAAGUCGUAGAUAUUGUGGAUUCACCAGUAACGAGACUCGUUACUAUAGAGGGGACCUUUCUAAUUGGUGUGGUUCAAAAAGGGGAAAAUGGUCAGCGGGGUACAGCAACGGGACAAAAUGUUCCAGCAACACGACAGGUUGCGGUGGUAAUUGCACGACGGAAUGGAAUUAUUAUGCAUAUGGGUUUACCUUCGGGAAACAGCCAGAGGUGUUGUGGAACAAUGGGACUGCUAAGGCACUCCCCCCAGGUAUUUUCUUGAUUUGUGGGGACAGGGCUUGGCAAGGCAUCCCGCGUAAUGCCUUGGGAGGGCCCUGUUAUCUAGGACAAUUGACUAUGCUCUCUCCUAACUUUACCACCUGGAUAACAUAUGGGCCGAACAUUACGGGUCACCGCCGUAGCAGGCGCUCGCUGAGUCAGCAGCCCUAAUUUUACCCGUUUCUUAGGUUUCCAAGGAUUGCUCAUGCAGAUUGAAUGGACUCAGUAUCUUCAGCAUUCUGCUAAUCAUUGUUUAUUAGUGUUACCUUAUACCUGGAAAACGUACUUUAUAAAUCCC
ensembl:lncRNA